UCGCGCCUACGGGGGGCAGCAGUGAGGAAUAUUGGUCAAUGGACGAGAGUCUGAACCAGCCAAGUAGCGUGAAGGAUGACUGCCCUAUGGGUUGUAAACUUCUUUUAUAUGGGAAUAAAACAGGGUAUGCAUACCCUCUUGUAUGUACCAUAUGAAUAAGGAUCGGCUAACUCCGUGCCAGCAGCCGCGGUAAUACGGAGGAUCCGAGCGUUAUCCGGAUUUAUUGGGUUUAAAGGGUGCGUAGGCGGUUUUUUAAGUUAGUGGUUAAACGUCGGGGCUUCACCUUGAUUUGCCAUUAAUACUGU
rnacentral:rRNA from 1 species